GUGUCAGCCGCCGCGGUAAUACGUAGGGGGCGAGCGUUGUCCGGAUUCAUUGGGCGUAAAGAGCUCGUAGGCGGUUCGCUAAGUCAGGUGUGAAAUCUCCGCGCUCAACGCGGAGGGGCCACCUGAUACUGGCGUGACUCGAGUCCGGUAGGGGAGUGUGGAAUUCCCGGUGUAGCGGUGAAAUGCGCAGAUAUCGGGAGGAACACCAGUGGCGAAGGCGGCACUCUGGGCCGGAACUGACGCUGAGGAGCGAAAGCGUGGGUAGCAAACAGGAUUAGAUACCCUGGUAGUCCACGCCGUAAACGUUGGGCACUAGGUGUGGGACUCUAUCGACGGGUUCCGUGCCGUAGCUAACGCAUUAAGUGCCCCGCCUGGGGAGUACGGCCGCAAGGCUAAA
rnacentral:rRNA from 1 species